rnacentral:rRNA from 1 species
UUGCGGCGUGCCUAGAAUGCAGUCGAACGGGGACUUCGGUCCUAGUGGCGAACGGUCGCGUAACACGUAAGCAACCUGCCCUGAAGUGGGGGACAACAUCCCGAAAGGGGUGCUAAUACCGCAUGUGGUCACGAGUCGGCAUCGGCUUGUGUCUAAAGAUUUAUCGCUUCAGGAUGGGCUUGCGGCCUAUCAGGUAGUUGGUGGGGUAAUGGCCUACCAAGCCGACGACGGGUAGCUGGUCUGAGAGGACGAUCAGCCGGAUUGGGACUGAGAUACGGCCCAGACUCCUACGGGGGGCAGCAAUUAGGAAUCUUGCGCAAUGGGGGGAACCCUGACGCAGCGACGUCGCGUGAAGGAUGAAGGCCCUCGGGUCGUAAACUUCUUUUGAGUGGGAAGAAAUUUGACGGUACCACUCGAAUAAGCCCCGGCUAACUACGUGCCAGCAGCCGCGGUAAUACGUAGGGGGCGAGCGUUGUCCGAAGUUACUGGGCGUAAAGCGCGCGUAGGCGGUUAUUCAAGUCUGGGGUGAAAGGUUCAGCGCUCAACGUGAACAGUGCCUUGGAUACUGGAUGACUUGAGUCUGGGAGGGGGAAGGGGAAUUCCUGGUGUAGCGGUGAAAUGCGUAGAUAUCAGGAGGAACACCGGUGGCGAAGGCGCCUUCCUGGCCUAAGACUGACGCUGAGGUGCGAAAGCGUGGGGAGCAAACGGGAUUAGAUACCCGGUAGUCCACGCCGUAAACGAUGAGUGCUAGGUGUCGGGG